rnacentral:tRNA from 1 species
UGUCCAAUGCGGGGAUCGAACCCGGGUCGUAGUGGUCGUAAACCAAACGGUUUAACCAGCCUUCCACCGACAAGGCCAAAUC